rnacentral:lncRNA from 1 species
AUGGGGAGAGGAGUGGGUGUGAUGGAUUUCCUUUUGCCUGGAUUGUUAGCAUGGCUCUGUGUUGCAGUGGCCCAAGCCCAGCUCAAGGGUCCAGGUGCUGUUUUUGGUGAUGAGGAAGGUUAUGAUGGUUUUGAGCCAAAUGUGGGUAGUCCUGUAUUCCAGGAGACCCCACCAGAUAGAUACGAUGGUUAUUCUGCUGGAGAAACAAGAGGGGUGCUAAAUGGGGAAGAGCAGGACUUGAUGGAAAUGAGCUCUGAUGCUGAGGGGGAAGAACUGGAUAAGGACUCUGGUGCUGAUGUGCAGAGAGAUGUGGCAGCAGUGACAACUGGUCCCUCUGAAGCAGAUCCUCCCUCAUCUGAUCCUGACUCUCAGGGUGACCCUGAGCAGCAGCAAUCCCACAGCCGCCCCCUGCUGUCCUGUGGCAAGAGCAGCAUGAUGCUCAAGUUCUCUGUGAGGCGGUUCAGCCGAGUCUACCUGCUGAAGGGUGAGGUUCUACCCUGCUUGUACUUGCAUUGUCCCUAUACAUGGACAGGUUCUCCAUCCUCUGUUUUGGAGCUCAAAACCUGUUCAUGUGCCAUCUGAGCUGU